rnacentral:tRNA from 1 species
CGUUCUAUGGCCAAAUUGGUAAAGGCAUCGCCGAUCACAGGCGAAGGAUGCGGGUUCGAGUCCCGCUGGAACGG